AGAAGAAAAAAAAAAGCUUUUUUUUUUUUAGUUCUUCCCUAUUCUUCAUCGUCUCUCUCUGUUUCGCGAUUGUUUUAACGGCGAAGGCUUCGGAGAUGUUCCAUCGAAUCGAGAGGUGAAAUCGGAUAGUGAAUUUGCAUGGACGGAAUUGACCGAUUCAGCGGUUGCAUGUGACAGGCGGCGGGUUUGAUCACCAACGCUGACUCGAUUGUGGUAGGGCGGAUUAUCGGUGAAUUUUUCCGGCGAUGAGAGUCACAAGAACAAGUGUUAAAAUCUCCCGACAAAAAUUUCCCGGUGGUUUUUUUAAGAGAAAGGUUCCAUUUGUCAUUGUUGAAAAGGAUCAACAAUCGCAAUAACUUUGAUUUUCAUACAUGAAUCUACACCUAAUUCUGAGCUCGUUAAGCAUCACAAGAGUAUUAUCAUGGUGGUCCAAUCUCAGUAGCAGAGUACAUGGAGGAAGUUUUGACUAAUCCUAAAGCAGGAUUCUACAUGAAUCGUGAUGUAUCUAGAGCUUAAGGUGAUUUCAUUACUUCUCCAGAAGUUAGUCAAAUGUCUGUUCAUGUAAUUACUUAGCAUUUAUUGAUUAUUGAUGAUAAGUCUAGAACAUGUGUUGCUAAUGUUUAACUUUCAAGUGGUUAAUUUGUUACUUGUUAUGCGUAAUCUUGUUUAUUUGCCA